rnacentral:lncRNA from 1 species
UUUUUUUCAUUAUUUUCCUUUUCUUUUCUGUUUACUUUUCCUUUUCUUUUGUACUGCUUUCUCCCUUUUGUUUUUGUUUUUUUGUUUUACUCCCGAUGACGGCGUCUCCCUCUCCCCCAACACGCGAAUAUCACCGGAACCAUUCAUGUGGUGGUAACAUAUCAGUUGACCGAUAACGGAUACUUAAGUACGUACACAAAAUUGAUACAUAUAUAUAAAUGUACGGCUUUGAUCAGCUGCUCUACAAUGUUUCACAUUGAGCUUCUUCCCAUUCUUGUUCGUUGCCGAGUAAUUGAG